CGUGCUUUGCCGUGCUUGUAAUUCAUCAACUGCACAAUGCGUGCUAUUUACGUUCUGCCGUUUGUAUUCUCACGUUAAACUUUCUUUCGCUAAAUUAUGAAAUUUGAAAUUGCUUGAGAUAGUGAACACAAUAUCUAUGCACUCAACCAGUUAGAAUUCAUCAUUGUCAGACCUCAAGUAAGAUAUUACUGAAUCUGUCGUGCGGCACAGAAUGUCAGAAAUCAACGAAGAGCGUGAAAAACAACUUCAAGACUUGAAUAGCUUCAUUCAGUUGUCUUACGAACAACUAACCAGUGUUGUAUCUUCGCUAGGCUGGACCAUAGAGAGCAUUUCAAACGAGAGCCAGACCACUGUUGCUUGCCCGUUUGAUAAUGGUCAUCGAGUCAAGGAAGCUAGUCUUGGAAAGCAUUUGGAAAAAUGUCAAUGGAAAGCUGAAGGGUACACGGAAUAUGAUUUACCCCUCUCAGAGCCUUGCCCAUCUGUUGAUCCUUCAUCUUCCAUUAAAUUUGAUGAACAUCUGCAGGAUGAGGUAUUGCUAAAAGCUCGCGAACAAGAUCCUACAAUGCAUACAGCAGCAGGUAUCGGUGACAGAUUAAUUCCUCGAACAUCGGACAGACUCACAGCAAGUUUCACUAGCGAUGAGAGAAAAGCUGUUUACGAUUACGUUAUAGCCAACACAAUUACGCCUGACAUUGGAUGUGACAUUGCUGAUAUGAAUAACGUAACCAAGAAAGACAAAGAUUCUCCAAAAACUUCCCUCCUUGAGUUACUAGCACAGGAACGUAAUUUGAAACGAAGAAGAGCCAAGCAUCGAGGUGUUCAUACAAACAAAAAAUCUCAAGUUGAAAUAUUACGAGAAGUGAUCAAUCAACAGAUGGAAAUGUAUGAAGAGUACAUCACUGAUUCCUUAAUAAAAAUAAAGCCCAAGUCUUCUGUUAAAUUGGAAGCUAGUUCGUCAGAUUUUCACACCGAUUUUGAUAAGAAAAAUCUAGGAAAUAAAUAUUCCUCCGAGUGGCCGAGAAAAAGCUCCACUAAAAGUGACAAAAAGAAGAACUUUUAUGCGUUUUCGCCGGGCAAAAAAUCCCCCACACAGAAUAAUGACCUCGAUUGUGUCAAGAGAAGAAACAGGUCUCUGUCCCGAGGUAGUGAAAGACAACAGCACCACUCCAGACACACGAGAGGUCGUUCAAAGGAAAGGAGUCGGCACCAGGAUGUGAGUCGUAGAUACCGAAGAAGGGAAGAAAAAUCGUGGAACAAGGCAGAAAAUAAUUAUCAAACAGAGGAGGAUAAAACGAAGGAACGAAAAAAACGAGGUCGGUCGCGGGAAAGGAGUGAAAAAUAUGUUGAGAAAUCACGGCGACAUGAAAAAUAUGAUGGUGGUUAUUUCUACAAGCAUCAGCGUGUACGUGAUACGUCUAAAAAUUCGAAGAAAAACCCUUGAUUAUAUCUCUUCAUCAUUUACGAGCAUUGAAUUAGAUUCGACAUUUGAUCAUUAUUACGACUGUACAUUUAGUUAAGAAACAAAGUCGAAUCAAUAACUAAAGAACGAGGGAUAAAAAUAUGGCAAUAAAAUUGUUUUAAAUCAGAUCCGAAUUCAAGUUUCACCUGUAUGAUAACAGUAUCAUCCGUACUUUGUCAGCAGUUUUUGAUCGAUGUAAUCUCAUUUUAUCAGCCUUACUCUAGGCAACCCGACGUACUGCAAUGGUAAUGACUGCAACCAACAGCAUCUGAUGCAAACUUCAGGUAGAUCCUAGAAUCACGGGUCGCGUUUAUUGUCGAGGUUGAGGACUCUUGAGUUCAAAACUUCGAACGUUGUGUUGACGUGUUUGUGCUAAAGAAUGGAUUCAACGUUAAAAAAAAGUGGUAAAAAACACAGCACUCCUGUCUUGUAUCAAAAAAAUUUGGAACUAUAUUUUCCACUAUCCGAAAUACGAUCGGGAGAUACAUCAACCUUGCGUGAUGCGAUUUAUAGCGACUCGGACGAUGGCGAGCGAAAAUCAAAACAAACGCGCAGAAGAAGACUGAUUCAAAACACCAAUUUGUACGCUAAAAUCAACAAGAUUAACUCGAGCUCUGAUUCUGAAUAUGAAACUUUCUAUGAAUGCGAAAUAAAUUCUUCGAAUAACGAACGGCAGGUCACCAGCCUACUUCAUAAGAAGACAGAAAAUUUUUACGAAAGCACACAGUCUGAUACGGAUGUCACAAUCCCACAAGUCGUUAUUGCAUCUCCUCAGCCUGGGGAAUUAUUUUACUCUCCAACGCAAGAUAUUCGCAAACACUAUGGCGAAUCGUUAAACUAUCAGUCCAAUGAAUCACCACUGCAUUUACAAUAUUGGAAUUCUCCUAAGUUUCAGAGGCAAUUUCAAGAUCCUAGGCAGUACAGAAGCUAUUCUGGACCUGGAAGAAAAGAGCGGUUGAGCCCAUCUAAAAUCUCAUUUUCCCCCAAGUGGGCAAACCCUGUCCCAUCCAAAUACAGUUCACCGAGUCAAAUCCCACCUGUAGUUUGUGCACAGCCAAAAACUUCACCUAUUUAUGAAACGAGACGUGGUACCUCUGGAUCUGGUUCAAAGAAUUCACAUUGGAAUCGCUGCAAAAUGCUUAUAGCUCCGUUUCCUGAGAAAAAAAAACGUGUGGUGCGUGGGAACAGAAAAAAAGAGGAGUCGUACGAUUCGAAGAAGGAAAGCUGUGGAUCAGUUUCAAUGAUACCAGUUGGAGCUAGGAAGCGGAGUGAUAAGCGUAAGCUUCCAAUUCAAUCUAGUACACAUACAUCUUGUGAUAAUUUAUUGUUGGGAUCACCACUUCAAAAGACCAGCAAAAUGGACCAACGGCAUCGUACAGCUGAUCAAAAUCACAAAGGCGAAAGCUUGAAAAAUGAUAGCAGUUCCAGUUCAUCAGAGGCAAUUAUAUCCCAUCCUCAGAAAUCAACAAUUCAAGUCAUAUCAAAUAUCAAGAUAACAGAUGGGCGAUAUGAAAAUUUCUUAAAAAAACUCUACUCUAAACUUGAUUGAAUCAGAGCUAAUCACAAAUCUAUUCUGACUUAAAAUAAAUGGGUUGUUAUUACAAAUAUUAAAAAAAAAAUUACAUUCAUAUCAAAAUUCAUGAUCAACUAAAAAUCUGGUUUAUUUUGUGUAUCUUUUUUUUUUGUGGAAAUUAUUUUGUUUAAUUUUCAAGGGUAAUUGUUAAUCGUUAUGUGAAAAGAAGUUGAAUAUAAUAUAUUUAUUUUUUCAAUGUAAGUGGAACAAACAUCUACCUGGUUUUGUAUAUGCACUUAUUUUAAGUUCUCUUGCUUUUGAUUAUAUUAGCUGUAACUUGGCUUCCGUGAACACUUAUUAGCAGCCUUGUGUAUGGGAGGUUGCCAGUAAAAUUUAAAAUAAUUAGUAAAAACUGGCUGUGAAAAUUAUACUUGUCGGUAAUGUAACGUUUGAGCCAAAAUUGUAUGGCAAAGAGUCUUCCCAUUUCUUGCAGUUCCUGCUACUCAAAACUUGUGCGCAAAUCAUUUGUGUAGUUGCUGAUUGGCGAUAUUGUUUCCAGUUUAUGAUAGAACUGUGCAUUUUACACUCUUUCAAAAACGACCUAUGUAUUUAAUCUUACAUCUCUAUAACUUGUUUUAUGCCCUAUACAACGAGUUCUGUUGGAAUAUUCAUAAUGAAGUAAUGAAUGAUUAGUCACUCAUUCAGGCAAAGGUACUUUCAACAUUCACAUAACUAAAAAUCCUGAAUAAUAUAAUAAUUAUUUAUUUAAUUAUAACGUACUUAAAACCUGUGCGAGACACAGAUAGAUAAUAUAAAAUAUUAAAAUUUCAAACGUUACAUGUAUUAUAUGUUUCGAAUUGAAACUAGUAUUGAAAAAUAAUAUUUAUAUAUUUACGAAUAGAAAUAUUAAUAACAUGAGUUUUAUCUCUACGAUUAGUGAUGAGCAUUGAUAUAAUUAGGCAAUAUAUCCAUAACAAUCUAAGUUAUAAUGCAUCAUGUUUGUAUUUGAAAUUGCUGUACAGAGUAAAAUUUUGUUUAUCAUCAAACUGAAAACAAGUUGUCGAACAUUUGGUGGAACCUUUGAUAGGAUUAUGUCAAAAAGUACGGAAUAUGAACCGAAUUUAGUUCAGGGUCAGAAAAGAAUUGCUAAUCGUAAAUGGGACAAUCAAAUCACUGGAAAAGUACUGGCAAAAAUGUUCGUGAUCUAGAAAGAUUAUUAUGAAAAAUGUGAUGUUACGUCAAUGAUGUCAUACUAAAUAGAAUAUCCGAUGCAAUUAUGAAUUUUUUUGGCACCUAUUUCGGCUUUCUAAUUUAUUUGCUGACAUAUUACCAUUCCUAACUUUAACCAAAGUACGUGGUUUCCACAAAUAGUUUAGCGCAAAUUUGAUAGACACGUACUAGUAUCAAUACACAAGCUUUACAUUUAGAUUCACGUACGUAACGUUGAAAGUAAGAUUACUUAUAUCGCCUCUAACAAUUUAUGAUAUUAAUUCAACACAUGGCUAUGAUAAUUUCGAACGUAUUCUCAGUUAUCUUAUGUUGCCAAGUGUUCAGAAGCGAAUGAAUGAGAGGAAUUACUUUUAUUGAUAUAAGUUUGUAUUGUAUAUCACUGUAAACUUCUGUAUCAUUUUCUAAACUGUUGUUUUUCUUCUCCAUGUAAAAUAAAAUAAAAGUAAAUUUUGUAAUAAACUAA
rnacentral:misc_RNA from 1 species